GGGUGUAUAGCUCAGUGGGAGAGUCCAUGCUUAGCAUGCACAAGGUCUUGGGUUCAAUCCCUAGUACCUCCA
rnacentral:tRNA from 1 species